rnacentral:rRNA from 1 species
AUUCCGGUUGAUCCUGCCGGAGGACAUUGCUAUUGGGAUUCGAUUUAGCCAUGCUAGUCGAACGAGUUCAGACUCGUGGCGAAUAGCUCAGUAACACGUGGCCAAGCUCCCCUUCAGUCAGCGAUACCCUCGGGAAACUGAGGUUAACAGCUGAUACAAAACGCCAGCUGGAAUGCGGCGUUUCAGAAAGACAUCGCUGAAGGAUGCGGCUGCGGCCGAUUAGGUAGACGGUGGGGUAACGGCCCACCGUGCCAGUAAUCGGUACGGGUGAUGAGAGCCAGAGCCCGGAGACGGAAUCUGAGACAAGAUUCCGGGCCCUACGGGGCGCAGCAGGCGCGAAACCUUUACACUGCACGGAAGUGCGAUAGGGGAAUCCCAAGUGCGAGGGCAUAUUAGCCCUCGCUUUUCUCGACUGUAAGGUGGUCGACGAAUAAGAGCUGGGCAGACCGGUGCCAGCCGCCGCGGUAAUACCGGCAGCUCAAGUGAUGCCCCAUAUUAUUGGGCCUAAAGCGUCCGUAGCUA